rnacentral:tRNA from 1 species
GGCAAGGUGGCCUAGUGGGAAGAAAGGCAUUAGAUUUGGGGUCAAAAGACCUGGGUUUCAGUCUUGGCAUUGCCA